GGCGGACGGGUGAGUAACGCGUGAGCAACCUGCCUACAAGAGGGGGACAACAGUUGGAAACGACUGCUAAUACCGCAUAAGCCCACGUAUUCGCAUGGAUAUGAGGGAAAAGAUUUAUCGCUUGUAGAUGGGCUCGCGUCCUAUUAGCUAGUUGGUGAGGUAACGGCUCACCAAGGCGACGAUAGGUAGCCGACCUGAGAGGGUGAUCGGCCACACUGGAACUGAGACACGGUCCAGACUCC
rnacentral:rRNA from 1 species